ACUCAGCACUGGGGCGUCUCCUCCACCAUGGCCCGGACUCCUUUCCUCCUCACCAUCGUCACUCUCUUCACAGGGUCCCUCUCCCAGCCUACGCUGACUCAGCUGCCCUCUGCAUCUGCCUCCCUGGGACAGACGGUCAAACUCACCUGUACCCUGAGCAGUGGCUACAGUAGUUACAGUGUGGACUGGUACCAGCAGAGCCAGGGGAAAAGCCCUCGGUUUGUGAUGCGAGUGGGUAGCAGUGGUAUUGUGGGAUCCAAGGGGGAUGGAAUCCCUGAUCGAUUCUCAGGAUCAGGCUCUGGCUUGGAUCGAUACUUGACCAUCCAGGACACCCAACAAGAGGAUGAGAAUGUCUACUACUGUGGGGUAGACCACGGCAGUGGAAGUAGCUUUGUGUAA